rnacentral:tRNA from 1 species
AAGGCUUUAGCUUAAUUAAAGUGUCUGCUUUGCAUGCAGGUGAUGUAGGUUAGUGUCCUGCAAGUCUUA